CUAUAGACUACACGGUAAAUAUUUUAGUUGGAUAACUGAGGUAAUUCUUGAGCUAAUACACGCUAUUUAUACCACAUUAGUGGUGCGUUUAUUUGAUUAAACCAUUUUAUAUUGGUUGACUCAAAAUAUCCUCGCUGAUUUUGUUACUAAAACAUACCGUAUGUGUAUCUGGUUUAUCAACUUUCGAUGGUAGGGUAUUGGCCUACCAUGGUUGUGACGGAUAACGGAGAAUUAGGGUUCGACUCCGGAGAGGGAGCCUGAGAAACGGCUACCACAUCCAAGGAAGGCAGCAGGCGCGAAAAUUACCCAAUUUUAGUUAAAAGAGGUAGUGACGAAAAAUGACAACCAAAUAUUAUUAUUAAUAUUUGGAUUGAAAAUCUUCAAGUAUAAA
rnacentral:rRNA from 1 species